UUUUAACAAAAAAAAAGAACUUACAAAAAAUAUAACAAACCCACAGCAUGUGUUGUUAUUAACUGAAAAGAGUAAAAAUCGUACCAGCAACAACAAUGUGCGAAAUAACAGUGUAAGAAAUAACAGCGUAAGAAAUAACAGCGUAAGAAAUAACAGCGUACGCAACAGUCACAAUGUUAAUAGUAAAAACUCAAGUAAAUUAAUUCCUUCUUAUAAUAUACCAAUUACUAAUAACAAAGUAGCACGAGAAGAAAAACUAUAUUAUAAUGGGACAAUUUUGCUUAACAAUACCAGUGUUUCAAAAGAUAAACUGCUCAUAGAGAAACAGCUAUAUAAUUAUAAUAUGAAUUUAAAAAAAAACAAAUUGUUGCUUCACGACAAAGUCAUAAAAGAAAACAAUAUAACCGAUUCUGUGUAUCUAAAAAAUAAUAACACAAAUUCAAUAAAAGAUGUAUAUAUGAACAAGCAUAAACAAUUAAAUAUAAAUAAAACCACCAAAAAUAUAACUGCUCCUAUUAAAAGCGCACAAGUUUCAAACCAUGAGAAAUACCAAAAAACGAAUAAAUUUAUCAAAAAAAAUGAUAAUUUAAUAAAAAAUAAUGUAGACAAUGAAAAAAUGUACAGUAACUAUAACCAUAUUUAUACUUCCAAUGUUUUAGAGCAAAAAAAUAAAACAAAUGUGAGCGAAACUAUUGUACAUAAUGGGCAAAAAGCAUUACAAGUAAAACCGACUCUACAACAAAUUAAGCCCCCCCUACAACAUGGCUUACCUCAAACUGAACGCAACACACAAAAAACACAACAAACCAAUAUAAGUAAUAAUGGUAACUUGAACCGAGACAGAAAUAACUAUCGUUUUCAGAUAGAGAAAAACAAAGUAAAUGUAAAAAGCAACAGCAUAUAUAAUCCUUCCAACCCAGCUAAUAAAACAGUUAAAAAACAAAUCAUUAAUCAAAAUAUAAAUAAUAACAAUAUAAAGACUAGCUUGGUUAAAAAGAUUGUUAGUAAUGUGUCCAAAAGUAUGUCUAACAAAUUGAACAGUCCCUUGUCAUGUUAUACAAAAAAUAGUAAUAACGCCAAAAUACUUCACCCUAAUAAAGGCGUAAUACUCUUAAAAAAAGAUAAGAAAAUUGAUUUGAAUAAUAUGACAAACAAAGAUAACACGUUUAAAAUGGGUUUAAAAAAUAAUCCCAGUAACCAAACAUAUAACAAAAAUAAUAAUAUUAAAAAUAAUAAUAUCAAAAAUAAUAAUAUCAAAAAUAAGUAUAGCGAAUAUAACAAUUCUAUUAUAUUAAGGGGUGAACUUAAUAAACCAAACGAAAAAACGAAUUCAAAUAGUUAUACACAAAACCACCACAUUAAAUUGUUAGAAAAAUAUAAUAAAAGCGAUGACAAUAAUAGCGACAGUAAUAAUAAAAACGACAGUAGUAGUAGUAGUAGUAGUAAUAGUAAUAGUAAUAGUGAUAGUAGUAAUCAUUACGACUACUUGAAACAACAAAAAUUUGAUAAUUCAAAAAAAAAUAAACAUAAAUCAAAUUUUAUACAUUUAAAAGAUAAACAAAUAAAUAAAAAAAUGUUAUUUAAUAAUAAUAAUAAUAAUAUUUCUCUUGAACCUAAAAACAAAAUUGUUAAUAAUAACUAUGAUUACCUAACAGAUGGACAAAAAUAUGAAAGUCAUUUUGGGCAAAAUGCGAACGAGUUUGAAAAGAGUAAUGCGAGUGACAACGGUGCAGGUCACAGCGACACAAGUGGCAUAGAUAUAAAUAUGAAACAUCCUUCUAAUUUGAAACUACUUCGUCAAAGUAGGCAUGGCGACACGUUUAGUGAGCAGGACGACAUAUAUAGUGGGAAGGACGACAUGUGUGGUGGACACGAAAAAAAAAGUUUAUAUACGCACAUACAAGAUAACAGUACUUAUUUUUUAAACACAAGAAAUGAAAAAAUAAAAAACGGAAUGUGUUUUGAAGAAAUGAAAAAAAACAUACCUAAGCAGUUGCCUAUUGACACAACAGAAUAUAGUAGUAGCAAUAAUGACAACAUUAGCGAGGUCAGUAGCAGCGGUAAUAUAAAAAGUGACAAUAACAUGGACUUAGAUAAUAGGGACUUAAAUGAUAAUAAAAAAAUAAGUAACCACCCAUUAAAACCUAGCGGCUUAAUAAAAAAAAGUAAAAUAAAUGAUAACAUAUUACUAAAAAAACACAGUUUUGUCACAUCUGUUCCUGCUGUUGAUUCAAAAAAAGUAGUAGCAGAUAAAAAUAAUGCACAUAUGAGCAAUAACAUGAGUGACAGUGACAAUAGCGAAAAAGAUAGUAGUGAAAGUGGCAGUCGCAACCAUACUGAUUACGAAAUAAAAAAUGUUCAAAAAAAUGAAAACAUAAACUCUAGCAUAUUUAACACAACUGCAAAAGUGUCAAAUAUUGAAAAAUAUCAAAAAAAAGAGCAGUAUCAAAAGGAUUCAUCAAUUAAUAGUAGUACCGGUAACUGCAAUGAUAAUAUCAAAUAUGAUAACCACUUUUACGAUAAAAUAAAACAAAAACAUGAACAAAAACACAAACAAAAACAUGAACAAAAACAUGAACAAAAACACAAACAAAAACAUGAACAAAAACAUGAACAAAAACACAAACAAAAACAUAAACAAAAACAUAAAUUAACAAACGUCAUAGUAGACAUAACUCAUUUAAAUGAUUUAAAAAUCAGUUCAACAAAUGGAGUUAAAAAUAAGAGUUCUGAAAAUGAAGACUUAGAAUAUAGGUCUAUAAUCAAUCCUAAUCCUUUUAAAUUUAAAAAAGUGUCUAAUGAUUCAUUAAGUUUGUCAAAAUAUGGAAGCUUGUUUAAUAGAUAUGAAGAAGCACCAGGUAAUAAAAAAAUAAAAAAUAAAAAAUAAAAAAAAAUAAAA
rnacentral:lncRNA from 1 species